AUGGCUAAUACAUGCGCAAAUGCCUCCUUCUCUGGAGGGGCUGUGUUUAUUAGAUACAAAACCAACCCACUUCUGUGGAGUCCUGGUGAUUCAUAGUAACCGAACGGAUCGCAUUUGGCUUCGGCCCGCGAUAGAUCUUUCAAGUUUCUGACCUAUCAGCUUUCGACGGUAGGGUAUUGGCCUACCGUGGCAGUGACGGGUAACGGGGAAUUAGGGUUCGAUUCCGGAGAGGGAGCCUGAGAAACGGCUACCACAUCUAAGGAAGGCAGCAGGCGCGCAAAUUACCCAAUGAAAACAGUUUCGAGGUAGUGACGAGAAAUAACAAUACAGGGCAUUUUAUGCUCUGUAAUUGGAAUGAUGGGAAUGUAAAACCCUUCCAGAGUAACAAUUGGAGGGCAAGUCUGGUGCCAGCAGCCGCGGUAAUUCCAGCUCCAAUAGUGUAUAUUAGAGUUGUUGCAGUUAAAAAGCUCGUAGUUGGAUUUCUGCUGUGGUCAUCCGGUACCGCCCGUAUGGGUGCGCACCUGGUUUGGCUCCGGCUUUCUUCCUGUAGCCGUCCGCGCUUAAUUGCGUGUACUGUGUUACGGAACUU
rnacentral:rRNA from 1 species